rnacentral:rRNA from 1 species
AUUGAACGCUGGCGGCAGGCCUAACACAUGCAAGUCGAGCGGUAGCACAGAGAGCUUGCUCUCGGGUGACGAGCGGCGGACGGGUGAGUAAUGUCUGGGAAACUGCCUGAUGGAGGGGGAUAACUACUGGAAACGGUAGCUAAUACCGCAUAACGUCGCAAGACCAAAGUGGGGGACCUUCGGGCCUCAUGCCAUCAGAUGUGCCCAGAUGGGAUUAGCUAGUAGGUGGGGUAACGGCUCACCUAGGCGACGAUCCCUAGCUGGUCUGAGAGGAUGACCAGCCACACUGGAACUGAGACACGGUCCAGACUCCUACGGGAGGCAGCAGUGGGGAAUAUCGCACAAUGGGCGCAAGCCUGAUGCAGCCAUGCCGCGUGUAUGAAGAAGGCCUUCGGGUUGUAAAGUACUUUCAGCGGGGAGGAAGGCGAUAAGGUUAAUAACCUUGUCGAUUGACGUUACCCGCAGAAGAAGCACCGGCUAACUCCGUGCCAGCAGCCGCCGUAA